rnacentral:rRNA from 1 species
AGGGUGCAAGCGUUAUCCGGAUUCACUGGGUUUAAAGGGUGCGUAGGUGGUCAGGUAAGUCAGUGGUGAAAUCUCCGAGCUUAACUCGGAAACUGCCGUUGAUACUAUUUGUCUUGAAUAUUGUGGAGGUAAGCGGAAUAUGUCAUGUAGCGGUGAAAUGCUUAGAUAUGACAUAGAACACCAAUUGCGAAGGCAGCUUACUACACAACGAUUGACGCUGAGGCACGAAAGCGUGGGGAUCAAACAGG